AGUUUCCCAGUACUAAAGUAUGAGAUCAUUCGUGCUAUUAUUAAAUAGGAUUUUAAAAGUAUUAUAUACUGAAAUGAGUAAAAAUUUGGAAGAACUCUGUGACUCAAUGAACCGGUAUUUUCCAAAUGAGCAAUGCAAUGCACGAUGCUACAAAAUCCACUUAGAGUACAGAUGGACCAGUGCCUUUUAAUGUAAUACAUUUUCACAGUUCAUUGAUAGGGUUUCAGAUUCUACUCUGUAACUAGCCUUUAAGAAACUAGGAUUUGUCAAGCUUUGCUCUAAUAUCACUGAAUACCCACAAUUAUUUGAAAAGGCUGUCAAAAUGCACCUCCCCUUUUCCAACUGCAUAUCUAUGUGAAGCCAGAUUUUCUUCAUAUUCUUUAACCAAAAUAAUGUAUUGGAACAGAUUGAAUUCAGAGGCAGAUAAGAAUAUCCAGCUGCCUUCUAUUGAGCCAGAUGUGUGUGUGUGUGUGUGUGUGGGUGUGUGUGUGUGUGUGUGUGUGUGUGUGUGUGUGUGUAAGGGAAUGAAGAGAAUGAAUGAGAAUGGGUACAAAUCAAAGCAACAUUUUCUUGGGUUAAUUAUUUCAACUAUAAAGAUAUAUCUCAACUUUUAAAGAAAUUCCUGGUUUAUAUUUAAAUGCACUUUAAAAAGACCAUAACACUUAAAUUCAGUUGACAGGCUACAAUGGGAUUCAGAAAAGGACACAGUGAAUAUAUAGACUUAGGUGCAAUUCAUGCUGGUGAUUUUUCUUUUUUAAAAUGUAAGCCACUAAUAUUUUAAGAAAAAAAUUUAAACCAAAAAUUGCAUAUUAAUAUUAUACACAAACUGAAACAGAAGUGACUUUUAGCACAGUGUACACAUGCUUACAUAAACUCAAACACAUUUAAAACAAUUUCCAUUUAACACAAGAAAGUUUUAAAUACAUAAAAGCAUUAAUAUUUUCUAUAAAACUACAGUUAGAACAUCAAUUUGCUACAAGCAUAUAAAAACAUCAAGUGCUUUCUUGGAGUUUCAAGUUUCCUCUCUAAAACACAAUCUUGCUUAUAUAUAUAGUCCUUUUCCAAUAAUCAGUAUGGACUUUUUUUUUCCUUAAGAGGUUUAUUUUCCAGGUACAUUAUAAGCUCAAGAAAAUAGACCCAACAAUUACGCAAUAUAAUAAUGUCAUAACAACUUAAUUGCACAUAAUGCUUUAAAGUAGGUUUGGAUGAAGUUCUCAAACACUUUGGUAUAUGAUCUUCAGGGACUUCAAUAGAAACAACAGAAAUUAUAAGUCCCUUCAAUCCCCAUUUUGCUUUAAAAUGGACAAGUCUUUGGUUAAAGUUCUACAUUUUGGGCAUUUAUUUUUAAUUAAGAUGGUCCCCAAACCAAUACACGGUACUGAUGUAUUACUAAUUCACAAGACUUCAUUCAAUCUGCUUCUGAUGCAGUGGGAGGUUACAUACUCAUUUACUAUGUCAUUGAAUAGUUUCACUCUUUCACUUAUAAGCAGAGAAAUCAAUAGGCUUACUAUUUCUCUGUCAGUUCUGUUAUAACCUAAACUGUACAGUAAUUUGCAGUAACUAUACAUACUGUUCCACAGUAUAUGUGAUUAUGACUGAUCAGAUGUAGAGCAUUAAAUUUGGAGUUAGCUUAUUCUGAUAAGUCAAUAUUAGACUGUAUAAUAACUCUGCAUUAACUAUGGAAAGGUUGUUAGUUAAUGCUUAUUUAAAAACCCCAAACUAUUCCAUUUACAAGAGAAAUUGUUGCAAAUGUAUAAAACAGCAGAUAUACAAGGAGAACACCAAACAUACUUUAUUAGCACAAAA